rnacentral:lncRNA from 1 species
GGUGACUCAAGGGCCACCCUGACCGGCAGAGCUAGGGCCGCAGCUCGCGGGUCCCGGGUCCGGAAACUCAAGAUUCAGUUACGUAAGGACCCGAGCAGGGCUCCCGGGGUCCCCCUCCUACCGCCCUCUGGGUCCCCAGGAGCACGCGGGUGCGCAGGGUGGGGCUGGCGGGUCGGCCUGGGGCUGCGCCGCGGCGCUGAGUCCUGCUGCGGACGAACACCCACGACAGGACUCCAGGUCCGGAGCGAGCAACUGCACGCCGUCUCCGGAGCUCCGCACCCCCUCGACUUUGUGACUCCAGAACCCCUAGGGACCUCAAGUUUGGAGCAUGCAGCUCAGGACCUCCAGCACCCCCGCCGAGGAUCCUGUGACCCUCGGCUCGCAGCUCCCGGAACGAUCGGGCUCCUUAGGAGCGGGCUUCUGGGUCUUGCACCUUGUCCCUCCCAGGCACCGGGGCCACCCCCUAAGGCGGUCCAGGCUCACCUGGGCUGCACAGGACAGGGACCUGGCAGGGACCUGGCCGGGCCGGGCCGGGCCGCGUCCUCGCUCUCCGCGGCUCUCUCCCUUUAAGAGGUUCCUGCCACUUUGCCCCGCCGGGGGCCUCCACCUGCACUGACAGGGCAACUCUGAUGCGAGGCCCCGCCCUCCCCUCGGGAGGUCCUGUAAUUGGUGCAGACAACUGCCAAUCUUUGGGGCGGCGGGCAGGACCGGGCACAGUAGCCCGACUGUCGCAACCGGGAAGGGGCGGGGGCUGCAGGUGCGGCCAGGCCGGGACGCCCAGCCUAGAGCAGCUCCUGAUAGACCCAGAGCAAUCAGGGGAGGGGAAACAUGGAGUUCCUGGAUUGGCUGGUAUGGUCGCUGACGUCAUGUUGCAAAAGUAUAAAGCAAUUUGCCACGUGGUGCUGACCCUAAGGCGUUAGGUUGGAAUGGGGGUUGUUCUAGGAGAGUUAGGGAAGUGACCUUGACGACAUAGACUUACCUGGAUCACCUGUUUCGCUAAUUAGUUCUGUAUGACCUUGAGCAAUCCACUUCUCGGAAUCUGCAAUGUCCCCAACUAGAAAUCUUCUGAUGUUUUCUUGAGGAUAAGUGACAUUUGGUAUAUAUCAAACCAAGUCUGGGACCCAAAAGUGUGUCCAUUACCUGGAGUUCUGAUUUCUCUUUUGCCUGCUUUGUCCCUCUUCUCAGUGGCUUCCUCUCCCAAUGAUCUGCCCCCAUCAGCCCUGGAAGAGGUCUAUGUAGUCAAUGGCCUAAGACCCCUCCUCUUCCUCGCAUUUCAGACCUGCCCUUGCUCACAUAGUGACAAGCAAGGUCAGGAAGCUGGCUGACUCCCAGCAUGGACUCAUCCUAACUAAACUACCCCAGAAUUUCAAAAGCUCUUCAUGAGAUUAAGGCCAAAUCUGCCUUGGGAUUCCCACCUACAGAGGACAAACAUAAUCCCCCUUUUAUUCAUAGGAAUCAGAGAGUCAAAUCCUAAAGCCAUGGAGUAUUCACCAUGCCAGGGAGCCCUGGAGAGUGAGACUCUUGUUUGGACAAAUGGAGAAACUGAGGGUCACUGAGGGCAAAUAACUUCCUGAGUUUUGGUGACCUGCAUUUUCAUCAUGGAGCGGGAGAGUCACUCAGGGGCACAGAGAAGCCUUUUGAGUCCUUUAACCAGAAAUCUGGAUGUUGCAGAACUGGCUAUAUGAACCCCGUACAAAAACCUGGGACAUACACCCAGGCUCCCAAGCCAACCAAAACUCCUCUCUCCUACUACCCAGGGCAGUGUUGUCUAUUGGUCAAAGCUAGAAACUCGGAUGUAGCCUGCUUACAUUAAUUCAGGUUUGAGCCUGUGGGUAAGCUUGUUUCCCUGGGGGUAAAAUACGAUGUUGCACCAACAUUACGUAGAAUUGUUGUGCUGGUUAACUGAAAUGGAAACUACAAAUGCAAUUAUUCAAUCAUGGAUCCAGUAUUAUUUUUUUAAUUGCUAUCACAUGUAUCCAGUCAUGCAUGCCAGAGAGAGCAGACUAUGAAUUCUUUAAUUUGGCCUCAGUAAACAAGGGCUCCCGGGCCAACUGCCUCCUUUCCCGGGACUCAAUCUAAGGGCUGCCAAUAGGAAAACCCCAGCCCCGGGUUGGACAGAGUUAUUCUAAAGGGCUGAAGAGGCCCCACCUCUCAGCUCUCCGGCAUGAGGCUCCAGCUCUGUUGGGUUUUUGCUGCUAGUGGGUGACUCAGCAACGCCGGCGCCUGGCCCUGCCUGAUAAGCCUGUGUGCCUAUGUGUGAGUUUGUACUUGGGAAUACAUCUGAGAAAGUGUUUGU